GUGAAUGCCAUUUUUACUGUUUUUUCAUCGUGAACAUUUCAGUGUGCUUCUUAGAAAAGUGCUCGCUAGAUCCCCAUCUAUGAGAAGAGUGACUUCCACCACCAACGUUCUACUCCAUCCCUAUCUUCGAGACGCACGCUCAUCUGGCUUCCGUCCUGCUGCUACACAAUUUGUCCUUACUUCAUUGACGAGAUACUGGACCACUUCAGUGAUCGCUUCCAUCCACUAUGACACACCUGUAGUCAUUCACCACUGGAUUAUGCCCAGGAAAUACUGACGUUGAGAAGACGGACACCAAAACAUCGCCGGUAUCUCCAAAAUGUCAUCGCGGAUCAUCAUUUGUUGUUGGUAAUAUGUGUUUGUUUGUUAGUUAACCCGUUGGCUGCCACGCCUUUGUUCCCCCUUGUCGAUGCGGUGAUCCAUUCUUGAGGCAUGCAUUCCAUGUUCUCCCAUCACCGUGUCAGCCCGGACUUGUCAGCAAUGGCAAGUCCCCCUCCCCCCAUUGGUCAUGGAUCCUUCAGACAUGGCUCUUAGUGAGUAGAGAACAACCUACGGGUUGUAUGGCGUGGCAGCCAACGGGUUAACUUAAGUGUAUGUAUGUUUGUAUAUGUGUA